UUAAAGAGCUUGCGAGCCUUGGUAGUUUUUUCACUCCUAGUUUUAGCAGUUAUAAUUAUAGCAACACGAGAUCAGGUAUAACAGUGCAAAUUGUAGCACGCUAAAUAACUAAAUUCAGACAUUUUAUUUUGCAAAAACCCGCAAAAAUAGAAACAGUGAUCUUUUAGACGAAUAACACGGCAAAAAAAAGUAUUUAUGAAUAAAAUAUAAAUAAUGUUCAAAAUACCAUAAGAUUUGGAGCAGAUGAUAUUACUCGCAACCCUCGCAAUGUUUGACGGGCAGAUAUAACAUUGCAAAUUAUAGCUUACUAAACGCCUAAAUUUUGAGAUUUUAUUUUGCAAAAAUCCAAAAAAGUUGGAAAAGUAAUCAUUUCGACAAAUAACACAGCAAAAUAAUAAUUUGUGAAUAAAUAUUAAAUAUUUUUUUAAAUAUCUUAAGAUUUUGAGCACAAGAUACCACUUGCAACCCUCGCAAUGUUUGACGGGCAGUUAUAAUUAUAGCACCCCAAAAAUCCACAUAAAAUCAAAUAGUGAUAUUUUCGACAAAUACAACCGCAAAAAAAUGCUGAAUAGCAAUCAAAGAUUAUUAAAAUACCGUAAGAUUUCAAGCAAAUGAUAUCAUUCGCAACCCUCGCAAUAUUUGACGGGCCGUUAGUUUUAGCAGUUAUAAUUAUAGCACCCCUAGACUAGGUAUAACAAUGCGAAUUGUAGCAUACUAAACACCUGAAUUUCGACAUUAUAUUUUGAAAAAAUUCACUAACAUUGAUAAAGUGAUCUAUUCGACAAAUAACAACACAAAAAAGCAAAUAAUGAACAAAAAAUAAAGAUUAUUUAAAAUACCAUAAAAUUUCGAGCAAAUCAUACUACUCGCAACCCUCGGAAUGUGUGACGGGUAGUUUAAGCAGUAAUAAUUACAGCAACGCGAGAGCAUGUAUAAACGUGCGAUGAAACGUAUAAACGUAUAAAUAACGUAUAAACGUAUAAACAUAUAAACGUAUAGACAUAUAAACGUACGAGAAACGUGGUUGUAGCAGACCAAACACCUGAAUUUUGACCUUUUAUUUCGAAAAAUAUCCACAAAAUUUGAAAUAGUAAUCUUAUCGACAAAACAGCAACAAAAUCAAUGAAAAAAACAAAGAUUUUUUAAAUUAUCAGAAGAUUUCGAUCAGAUGAUACUUUUCGCAACCCCCGCAAUGUUUUACAGGAAGCAUCAUUUUCAAGUAUGCAUGUCGCAUGCGACAUUUUGUCGUGCGGGUCGAUUUCCCAAACGGCAUUAUCGCGCGAUUUUUAUGUGUAUCUAUCAUUUUUCUCAUUCUAACAUUCAGAAAUUUUUUCGUUCUGCCUCGCUCUUCUGGGUGUUGGUCUGGUUUUGCUCGCAACUUGGCUGUGUCACACCAAUCAUCCUCAUGUUUCAUAUGGCUCUUCUGUUUCCAUCGUUAGAGAGAAACUCUUGCGUCUCGCUUUUCUGGGACUUGUCCAAUUUCGCUUGCUACACCAAUCGUUCACGCAAGCGUUCUCCUCUCGUCCGCUCUUUGUAUCAUUGUACAGGUACUCCCCGAUAUACGCUAUCAAUGCGGACCGGAGGCAAUAACGUAUCUCGAAGAUUAGCGAAAGUCGAAUUUCGAGGAUUUCAGUCAAAUUAUAGCUAAUUUUCGUAAAAUGGUAAUUUUGCAUGAAGUGGUAGGUUUCAGCCACUAAAUUAGUUAUUUGAUCUAAUUUAUACUGAAUUUUUCAAUUCUAUACCUUUUGAAAUAGUUUUUAAUAUUCAACCAAAAGGGAAUUUAUUUUGCAUUUGAUAUUCGAUGUCUGAAAUUAGUACAAUUUACUCAAAGAACCGUCAAAUUAAAAAAAGCGUAUAACAAAAUCGCGUAUUUCGAGUAUGGCGUAUAUCGAGGAAUACCUGUAUAGCCACACGAGGAAGGCGCUGCUUCGCGUUCUCAUGAAAAUGUGGUAGUGUGAAAUCAAGUUUGCAUGCAGAAGGACGCGUCGAUGCGUACUCGUUUUUUCUCUAGUGAAACCACUACGAAAAAACUAUUUGGCAAGUACAGCUUUUAAAAAAGGGUUACAUCAAUCUUUAUCAAAAUAAAUGAUAUGAAUAAUUGUGAUAUCAAAUCAAUUUCGUUUUCUAUAGAAAUCGUAACACACGCACGAACGGGAGUGAGCACGGACCACGAUAGAAACAAUAUUCAAUUGGUUGGAGUGCCGAAAACAACAGAACAGGAGAGGAAAGAAGGCAGGAACGAUCAUUCAACGCGCUAGAGCCGGACCAAGGAGAAGUGGCAGGAAGGCAGGAACGAUCCUCCAACGUGCUAGCGCCUGGUAGAAGAGAAGCGGCAGGAAGGUUCGGACCGGAACGGCCAACACUAGUAGGGACGAUCAUCCAGUACGCUAGUGCAGCAUACGGGAGCAGCGAGGGGGAGGCAAGCAGGAAGAAUUUUUAACGUGUGCAAACCAUUCGACGCAGACAACGCUGGAUGAAAGGAGAAACGAGGAGAGAAGACAGGCAAGACAGGUACGUGUAUAUCCCGCACCGGUUUUCGGCAGUAUGAAUUGUGUAAGUAUUGAAAAGUGUAUGUGCGAGUAAAGAGAUAAAAAUAAAGAGCGAAUGUGUGGAAUGGAAAAUGAGAGAGAGUCUGAGUUUGUUUUGGGAGAAAGGAGAGAAUAAAGAAAUUAUACAAUAAUGUAGCAUGCAGAAACUACAUGUAUGAUACACGCUGUCGCACGGUUGCAGAAAUGUGCUCUUUAGUGCUGCUAAUGAGCACGAUUUGAGAACGUUUUGAGCCCGUUUUUUCUCAUACAAAAUUUUAAAAUGUCACGCGAUAAUGUCGGUUGGGUAGAGAACACUUUUUCAAUACAAAAAACCGGCUGCAACGUGACAAUGUCGGUUGGGUAAGCAUGCAUGUCGCGCAACAUUUUGUCAUUCGGGUAGAGAGAGACGUACGAUUAUAUUGCUCCAGGCUUUCUACUUUUGUCCCAGAGUCCCAGAGUUGUGGGUCGUUAGGCCAGAGGAGUCACACUAUUAGGGGGUGACAAACUGCUACCGAGCUAGCACAAAUAUUAUCUUUUCGUCAGUGACAAUAAAAGUGAAGAAUCUUGCUUUUAAUUCAGGACAGAACAUCAGAUGAUAACUACCUCUUCAAUGGAUUCUGAUGUACUUCAAUGCAAAUGUGUGCAUAAAGCAAA